GUGGGUGUAGCGUAGCUGGUUAACGCGUCGGAUUGUGGUCCCGAAGAUCGUGGGUUCGAGUCCCAUCUCCCACCCCA
rnacentral:tRNA from 9 species